rnacentral:tRNA from 1 species
GACUGGAUAGCCUAGUGGUAAAGGCAUCACAUUGACAUUGUGUCUCAGCUUACAUGCUGAGGUCCCAGGUUUGAAUCCUGGUCUAGUCA